rnacentral:lncRNA from 1 species
UCUCUUUAUCAACAAAACUUAAAAACUUAAAACGAUACAUAUGAAGUAACUCAGGAAACCCAAGUAAGCAAGCACAUUACAGAAUCUAUCUAAUAUAAUAAUUAAAAACUAUUUCAUAAAGUUCCACACGAACAAAAAAAAAGUCCAUUAAGCUCCACACAUAAAGUUCCACACGUGAAUUAAGUGAACCUUAGAUUAAAUAAUUUUAGAAAUGUUUGCCAUUUGUGGAACUAGAAAACAAGAGCAGGAGCUUAAUGAAUUAACAAAAGCUCGGCUUUAGCAAAUACACACAAGCAAAUACAUAUUAAAUCUACCAGAGAACAUGACAAAGAUCACCAAAGCUUGCUUAUCUAAUCUAUAGCAUAACCAUUCCUUCUCUGAGUUUUGUUCCUAAAGCUUAGUUUUUUUCUAUUUUGAUCACAAUGGUACAGCUCAAGUCACAACACUUGUAAAAGGACAGAGAAUCAUGAUGUCCCAUGGUCAAGAAAGCAACACCACUUUUCACUUUAAUUUCAGAUAACAAUUAUAAACUAUCAUCCAUAAACUACUCAAACAAAAUCCCACAAGCUUCACAACUUAACCAAUCAAAUUAAGUUAUGACCAUCACAUAACUUGAGAAUCAUACCUGAAAUCGCCGCGGAGAGAUGGAGACAAAACUGAACCUCCUUAUGAGCAGAUAACAAGGAAGAGAAACCUUCAAUCAAAAAUGAGUUUUAGUUUAAAGGGUUUGAGUAAACAUAUAUUUGGAUGAGAAAACUUCAAUCGAAACUUACACAGAAGAAGACAGCUAAAAGAAGUUUCAGAGCAAUGGUGAAAGACGUAAGGGAGAUUACAACAGAGCAAUGGUUACUGAUUCAUAAGGAAGACGUAAGGGAGGACUCGCGGCUACGAAAAUCUGGGAAUGGAGAAGAGAAAUAGUGGAAGAGAAGAAGAGAAUCGUCUAAUGGGAGAAGAGAAGAAG